GUUGUAGCGGUGAAAUUGCGUAGAGAUCUGGAGGAAUACCGGUGGCGAAGGCGGCCCCCUGGACAAAGACUGACGCUCAGGUGCGAAAGCGUGGGGAGCAAACAGGAUUAGAUACCCUGGUAGUCCACGCCGUAAACGAUGUCUACUUGGAGGUUGUGCCCUUGAGGCGUGUCUUCCGGAGCUAACGCGUUAAGUCGACCGCCUGGGGAGUACGGCCGCAAGGUUAAAACUCAAAUGAAUUGACGGGGGCCCGCACAAGCGGUGGAGCAUGUGGUUUAAUUCGAUGCAACGCGAAGAACCUUACCUACUCUUGACAUCCAGAGAACUUAGCAGAGAUGCUUUGGUGCCUUCUGGAACUCUGAGACAGGUGCUGCAUGGCUGUCGUCAGCUCGUGUUGUGAAAUGUUGGGUUAAGUCCCGCAACGAGCGCAACCCUUAUCCUUUGUUGCCAGCGAUUCGGUCGGGAACUCAUAGGAGACUGCCAGUGAUAAACUGGAGG
rnacentral:rRNA from 1 species